AGUGAACGCUGGCGGUAGGCCUAACACAUGCAAGUCGAACGAGUGGCGGACGGGUGAGGGAUACAUCGGAAUCUAAUCUGUCGUGGGGGAUAACGUAGGGAAAAUUAAGCUAAUACCGCAUACGAUUGAAUGAGCCGAAGUCGGAUUAGCUAGUUGGCGGGGAAAAGGCCCACCAAGGCGACGAUCCGUAGCUGGUCUGAGCGGAUGAUUAGCCAUACUGGAACUGAGACACGGUCCAGACGCCUACGGGAGGCAUCAGUGGGGAAUAUGUGACGAUGGGCGCAAGCCUGAUCCAGCCAGACCGCGUGGGUGAAGAAGGCCUUCGGGUUGUAAAGCCUUUUUGUUAGGAAAGCGGUACCCAAAGAAUAAGCACCGGCUAACUUCGUGCCAGCAGCCGCGGUAAUUC
rnacentral:rRNA from 1 species